GGCUCAUAGCUCAGUUGGUUAGAGCGUCGCAAGGUCACGGGUUGAAACCCCAUUGAAGUCC
rnacentral:tRNA from 1 species